GCUCAGUAACACGUGGCUAACCCACCCUCAGGACGGAGACACCCCGGGAAACUGGGGCUAAUCCCCGAUAGGCGAAGACUCCCGGAACGGGUCUUCACCCAAAAGGCGCUAGAAUCAUGCUUUCUAACGUCGCCUGAGGACGGGGCCGCGGCCGAUCAGGUAGUUGGUGAGGUAACGGCUCACCAAGCCUAUAACCGGUACGGGCCGUGGGAGCGGGAGCCCGGAGAUGGGCACUGAGACAAGGGCCCAGGCCCUACGGGGCGCAGCAGUUGCGAAAACUCUGCAAUGCACGAAAGUGUGACAGGGCUAUCCCGAGUGCCGUCCGCUGAGGAUGGCUUUUCUCCGCUGUAAGGAGGCGGCAGGAAUAAGGAGAGGGCAAGCCUGGUGUCAGCCGCCGCGGUAAUACCAGCUCUCCGAGUGGUGAGGAUGAUUAUUGGGCUUAAAGCGUCCGUAGCCGGCCUUUCAAGUCUCUUGUNAAAUCCAGCGAUUCAAUCGUUGGACUGCGGGAGAUACUGUCGGGCUAGGGGGCGGGAGAAGCCGACGGUAUUCCCGGUGUAGGGGUAAAAUCCUAUUAUUCCCGGGANGANCACCAGUGGCGUAGGCGGUNCGGCUAGCACGCGCUCGACGGUGAGGGACGAAAGCUGGNGGAGCGAAC
rnacentral:rRNA from 1 species